rnacentral:piRNA from 1 species
UGAAGGGUGAACAAAAUGAAGAUGAGCUU